GACGAACGCUGGCGGCGUGCUUAACACAUGCAAGUCGAACGGUGAAGCGCCUUCCUUUUUGGUGGGUGUGGAUGAGUGGCGAACGGGUGAGUAACACGUGAGUAACCUGCCCCCUUCUUCUGGAUAACCGCAUGAAAGUGUGGCUAAUACGGGAUAUUCUGGGUCUGUCGCAUGAUGGGUCUGGGAAAGAUAUUGUUUCGGUGGGGGAUGGGCUCGCGGCCUAUCAGCUUGUUGGUGGGGUGAUGGCCUACCAAGGCGGUGACGGGUAGCCGGCCUGAGAGGGUGGCCGGUCACACUGGGAGUGAGAAACGGCCCAGACGCCUACGGGAGGGAGCAGUGGGGAAUAUUGCAGAAUGGGCGCAAGCCUGAUGCAGCGACGCCGCGUGAGGGAUGGAGGCCUUCGGGUUGUGAACCUCUUUCGCCAGUGAAGCAGGCCUGCCUCGUUUGUGGGUGGUUUGACGGUAGCUGGAUAAGAAGCGCCGGCUAACUACGU
rnacentral:rRNA from 1 species